ACUCUAAGCGGUGGAUCACUCGGCUCAUGGGUCGAUGAAGAACGCAGCAAACUGUGCGUCAUCGUGUGAACUGCAGGACACAUGAACAUCGACAUUUUGAACGCAUAUCGCAGUCCAUGCUGUUAUGUACUUUAAUUAAUUUUAUAGUGCUGCUUGGACUACAUAUGGUUGAGGGUUGUAAGACUAUGCUAAUUAAGUUGCUUAUAAAUUUUUAUAAGCAUAUGGUAUAUUAUUGGAUAAAUAUAAUAAUUUUUAUUCAUAAUAUUAAAAAAUAAAUGAAAAACAUUAUCUCACAUUUGAAUGUGAAAAACGAAGAGAAAUAUUUUCUUUUUCAAUCAAAUAAUACUGAGAAAUGUCUAGCAUAAAAAAUUGAAAUAUUUUUCAUCUAGAAUUGUCUCUUAUUAAUGAUUCGGAAAUAGAAAAAUCUUGGUUAUGUUAUUAUUCUUCGUUGGUUCGUUAAAAAUGGAUAAAUAAAAACUUUGCAUACAAGAAUUAAUAAAAAUGUUAUAACGAAUUUAAUUAAAUGUUUUAUCAUUAUAUAUAAAGAAUUUAUGGCAAGAUAAAGUUAUAUACAACCUCAACUCAUAUGGGACUACCCCCUGAAUUUAAGCAUAUUAAUUAGGGGAGGAAAAGAAACUAACAAGGAUUUUCUUAGUAGCGGCGAGCGAAAAGAAAACAGUUCAGCACUAAGUCACUUUGUCUAUAUGGCAAAUGUGAGAUGCAGUGUAUGGAGCGUCAAUAUUCUAGUAUGAGAAAUUAACGAUUUAAGUCCUUCUUAAAUGAGGCCAUUUACCCAUAGAGGGUGCCAGGCCCGUAUAACGUUAAUGAUUACUAGAUGAUGUUUCCAAAGAGUCGUGUUGCUUGAUAGUGCAGCACUAAGUGGGUGGUAAACUCCAUCUAAAACUAAAUAUAACCAUGAGACCGAUAGUAAACAAGUACCGUGAGGGAAAGUUGAAAAGAACUCUGAAUAGAGAGUUAAACAGUACGUGAAACUGCUUAGAGGUUAAGCCCGAUGAACCUGAAUAUCCGUUAUGGAAAAUUCAUCAUUAAAAUUGUAAUAUUUAAAUAAUAUUAUGAGAAUAGUGUGCAUUUUUUCCAUAUAAGGACAUUGUAAUCUAUUAGCAUAUACCAAAUUUAUCAUAAAAUAUAACUUAUAGUUUAUUCCAAUUAAAUUCGCUUGCAUUUUAACACAGAAUAAAUGUUAUUAAUUUGAUAAAGUGCUGAUAGAUUUAUAUGAUUACAGUGCGUUAAUUUUUCGGAAUUAUAUAAUGGCAUAAUUAUCAUUGAUUUUUGUGUUUAUUAUAUGCACUUGUAUGAUUAACAAUGCGAAAGAUUCAGGAUACCUUCGGGACCCGUCUUGAAACACGGACCAAGGAGUCUAACAUAUGUGCAAGUUAUUGGGAUAUAAACCUAAUAGCGUAAUUAACUUGACUAAUAAUGGGAUUAGUUUUUUAGCUAUUUAUAGCUAAUUAACACAAUCCCGGGGCGUUCUAUAUAGUUAUGUAUAAUGUAUAUUUAUAUUAUUUAUGCCUCUAACUGGAACGUACCUUGAGCAUAUAUGCUGUGACCCGAAAGAUGGUGAACUAUACUUGAUCAGGUUGAAGUCAGGGGAAACCCUGAUGGAAGACCGAAACAGUUCUGACGUGCAAAUCGAUUGUCAGAAUUGAGUAUAGGGGCGAAAGACCAAUCGAACCAUCUAGUAGCUGGUUCCUUCCGAAGUUUCCCUCAGGAUAGCUGGUGCAUUUUAAUAUUAUAUAAAAUAAUCUUAUCUGGUAAAGCGAAUGAUUAGAGGCCUUAGGGUCGAAACGAUCUUAACCUAUUCUCAAACUUUAAAUGGGUAAGAACCUUAACUUUCUUGAUAUGAAGUUCAAGGUUAUGAUAUAAUGUGCCCAGUGGGCCACUUUUGGUAAGCAGAACUGGCGCUGUGGGAUGAACCAAACGUAAUGUUACGGUGCCCAAAUUAACAACUCAUGCAGAUACCAUGAAAGGCGUUGGUUGCUUAAAACAGCAGGACGGUGAUCAUGGAAGUCGAAAUCCGCUAAGGAGUGUGUAACAACUCACCUGCCGAAGCAACUAGCCCUUAAAAUGGAUGGCGCUUAAGUUGUAUACCUAUACAUUACCGCUAAAGUAGAUGAUUUAUAUUACUUGUGAUAUAAAUUUUGAAACUUUAGUGAGUAGGAAGGUACAAUGGUAUGCGUAGAAGUGUUUGGCGUAAGCCUGCAUGGAGCUGCCAUUGGUACAGAUCUUGGUGGUAGUAGCAAAUAAUCGAAUGAGACCUUGGAGGACUGAAGUGGAGAAGGGUUUCGUGUGAACAGUGGUUGAUCACGAGUUAGUCGGUCCUAAGUUCAAGGCGAAAGCCGAAAAUUUUCAAGUAAAACAAAAAUGCCUAACUAUAUAAACAAAGCGAAUUAUAAUACACUUGAAUAAUUUUGAACGAAAGGGAAUACGGUUCCAAUUCCGUAACCUGUUGAGUAUCCGUUUGUUAUUAAAUAUGGGCCUCGUGCUCAUCCUGGCAACAGGAACGACCAUAAAGAAGCCGUCGAGAGAUAUCGGAAGAGUUUUCUUUUCUGUUUUAUAGCCGUACUACCAUGGAAGUCUUUCGCAGAGAGAUAUGGUAGAUGGGCUAGAAGAGCAUGACAUAUACUGUUGUGUCGAUAUUUUCUCCUCGGACCUUGAAAAUUUAUGGUGGGGACACGCAAACUUCUCAACAGGCCGUACCAAUAUCCGCAGCUGGUCUCCAAGGUGAAGAGUCUCUAGUCGAUAGAAUAAUGUAGGUAAGGGAAGUCGGCAAAUUAGAUCCGUAACUUCGGGAUAAGGAUUGGCUCUGAAGAUUGAGAUAGUCGGGCUUGAUUGGGAAACAAUAACAUGGUUUAUGUGCUCGUUCUGGGUAAAUAGAGUUUCUAGCAUUUAUGUUAGUUACUUGUUCCCCGGAUAGUUUAGUUACGUAGCCAAUUGUGGAACUUUCUUGCUAAAAUUUUUAAGAAUACUAUUUGGGUUAAACCAAUUAGUUCUUAUUAAUUAUAACGAUUAUCAAUUAACAAUCAAUUCAGAACUGGCACGGACUUGGGGAAUCCGACUGUCUAAUUAAAACAAAGCAUUGUGAUGGCCCUAGCGGGUGUUGACACAAUGUGAUUUCUGCCCAGUGCUCUGAAUGUCAAAGUGAAGAAAUUCAAGUAAGCGCGGGUCAACGGCGGGAGUAACUAUGACUCUCUUAAGGUAGCCAAAUGCCUCGUCAUCUAAUUAGUGACGCGCAUGAAUGGAUUAACGAGAUUCCUACUGUCCCUAUCUACUAUCUAGCGAAACCACAGCCAAGGGAACGGGCUUGGAAUAAUUAGCGGGGAAAGAAGACCCUUUUGAGCUUGACUCUAAUCUGGCAGUGUAAGGAGACAUAAGAGGUGUAGAAUAAGUGGGAGAUAUUAGACCUCGGUUUGGUAUCGUCAAUGAAAUACCACUACUCUUAUUGUUUCCUUACUUACUUGAUUAAAUGGAACGUGUAUCAUUUCCUAGCCAUUAUACGGAU
rnacentral:rRNA from 1 species